AUUGAACGCUGGCGGCAGGCCUAACACAUGCAAGUCGAGCGAGCGGCGGACGGGUGAGUAAUGUAUGGGGACUGCCCGAUAGAGGGGGAUAACUACUGGAAACGGUGGCUAAUACCGCAUACUAUCGGAUAACCCAUAUGGGAUUAGCUAGUAGGGGGGGUAAAGGCUCACCUAGGCGACGAUCUCUAGCUGGUCUGAGAGGAUGAUCGGCCAAACUCGGACUGUGACACGGCCCAGACUCCUACGGUGGCAGCAGGGGGGAAUGUUGCACAAUGGGCGGAAGCCUGUGACAGCCGUGCCUCGUGUAUGAAGAAGUCCUUAGGGUUGGUAAAUACUUUCGGCGGGGAGUCGUUACCCGCAGAAUAAGCACCGACUAACGCCGUGCCAGCAGCCGCGGUAAUUC
rnacentral:rRNA from 1 species